AACAGAAAGCGCAAAAAUAAUUUUCAAAGUGUAAUAGAUUCCUUUUACGCGAGCCAUUAGCUCAGUUGGUAGAGCA
rnacentral:tRNA from 1 species